rnacentral:rRNA from 1 species
UAACCCCUACGGAGGCAGCAGUGGGGAAUCUUCCACAAUGGACGAAAGUCUGAUGGAGCAACGCCGCGUGAGUGAAGAAGGGUUUCGGCUCGUAAAGCUCUGUUGGUAGGGAAGAAAGAUAGAGGUAGUAACUGGCCUUUAUUUGACGGUAAUUACUUAGAAAGUCACGGCUAACUACGUGCCAGCAGCCGCGGGAAUACGUAGGGGGCAAGCGUUGUCCGGGUUUAUUGGGCGUAAAGCGAGUGCAGGCGGUUCAAUAA